GUAGGUGGCAAGCGUUGUCCGGAAUUAUUGGGCGUAAAGCGCGCGCAGGCGGUUCUUUAAGUCUGAUGUGAAAGCCCACGGCUCAACCGUGGAGGGUCAUUGGAAACUGGAGAACUUGAGUACAGAAGAGGAAAGCGGAAUUCCACGUGUAGCGGUGAAAUGCGUAGAGAUGUGGAGGAACACCAGUGGCGAAGGCGGCUUUCUGGUCUGUAACUGACGCUGAGGCGCGAAAGCGUGGGGAGCAAACAGGGACUAGAUACCCUGGUAGUCCACGCCGUAAACGAUGAGUGCUAAGUGUUAGGGGGGUUUCCGCCCCCUUAGUGCUGCAGCUAACGCAUUAAGCACUCCGCCUGGGGAGUACGGCCGCAAGGCUG
rnacentral:rRNA from 1 species